AGUGAACGCUGGCGGUAGGCCUAACACAUGCAAGUCGAACGGCAGCACAGUAAGAGCUUGCUCUUACGGGUGGCGAGUGGCGGACGGGUGAGGAAUAAAUCGGAAUCUACUUUUUCGUGGGGGAUAACGUAGGGAAACUUACGCUAAUACCGCAUACGACCUACGGGUGAAAGCAGGGGAUCUUCGGACCUUGCGCGAUUGAAUGAGCCGAUGUCGGAUUAGCUAGUUGGCGGGGUAAAGGCCCACCAAGGCGACGAUCCGUAGCUGGUCUGAGAGGAUGAUCAGCCACACUGGAACUGAGACACGGUCCAGACUCCUACGGGAGGCAGCAGUGGGGAAUAUUGGACAAUGGGCGCAAGCCUGAUCCAGCCAUACCGCGUGGGUGAAGAAGGCCUUCGGGUUGUAAAGCCCUUUUGUUGGGAAAGAAAAGCAGCAGGUUAAUACCCCGCUGUUCUGACGGUACCCAAAGAAUAAGCACCGGCUAACUUCGUG
rnacentral:rRNA from 1 species